rnacentral:rRNA from 1 species
UACGGGGGGAGCAAGCGUUGUUCGGAUUUACUGGGCGUAAAGGGCGCGUAGGCGGCCAGUGCAAGUCAGUUGUGAAAUCUCCGGGCUUAACUCGGAAAGGUCAACUGAUACUGCUCGGCUAGAGUGCGGAAGGGGCAACUGGAAUUCUUGGUGUAGCGGUGAAAUGCGUAGAUAUCAAGAGGAACACCUGCGGCGAAGGCGGGUUGCUGGGCCGACACUGACGCUGAGGCGCGAAAGCUAGGGGAGCGAACGGG